CACACAGCACGUAUGGUAUCAAGUCCUCCAGAAGCGUGGUUCAUGGACAGGACAUACCAUCCUCGCCUGCUUCCUGCUCCGGCACAGGAGAAGGGGCAGGUGUUGUGUCUAGUUUCACGAAUAGCUGCCCUGCUGCCCUCUGAUUGUGGAUGGAAAGUAGAGUGCAGAGGUGUUGGCUUGGAGUCCAGGAGAUGAGAAGUGAGAGUGACUUGUCCCCAAGCAAGGACUUCAAGGUCUUUGGAAACAGCACAGCAAAGACCAGCACCACUCCAAACGGAGUCCAGUAUUUGGGCUGGCUCCCCAGGUGAGAGCCCUUAGGAGCUGGAGGACUUCUUGCCCCAGGAAGACGACGAGAUGGAAGGUGGCACACUGCUGGAAAAACCCUGUGUCACCGGCCAGGACGGAGACCCCUUGCUCACCAGCCAGCCAUGGCCUCCAGUGCCACCUGUUCUCUGCUGAAGACGGAUCCUUUCCCAGAGAGGACAGCUGGGGACCUUCAUGUCCACUGCAUGCCAAGCUCUGCUGCUGGUUUGAUGACCCCAGAACCUGCCCUUGGGCUUCUCUGACAUGUCUGAGGACCUCUAAGAUCCACCAAUCCAGGAAUGACUCACUCAUGGCACUGGGUUUGGGGACAUGUCCCCGUGAAUACACGGAGCAGCUGAGCCCUGAUGUCCUCUCACUGCCCUGGGGAAGGCUGGCUUCUCAUCACGGAUGGACAGAGCCAUGGUGCAGCCCUGAGGGGACACCACCCACCGGGUCCUUCUCAGCAUUUUCUGCUCCAACCCAGACCCACUUCCUGCCCUGGGUAUGACUUUCACCUCUGGACACUUACUGACUGACGCCCAGGAAGGCCAGGCUCCUGACUAGGGCCCUGAGGUGAUAAACAGGGGCAAGAAUAGAUUUAAAAUAAAAUGGACCUGCAGCCAGUGGCCACCAGCACAGGAAGCCAGCCCCACACCUACGCUGACCAGCCCAGGAAGCCAUCCCCUCACCUACACUGACCAGCCCAGGAAGCCACCCCUCACCUACGCUGACCAGCCCAGGAAGCCACCCCUCACCUACGCUGACCACCACAGGAAGCCAGGCCCACACCUACGCUGACCAGCCUAGGAAGCCAGGCCCACACCUACACUGGCCAGCCCAGGAAGCCAUCCCCUCACCUACACUGACCAGCCCAGGAAGCCAGCCCCUCACCUAUGCUGACCAGCCUAGGAAGCCAGGCCCACACCUACACUGGCCAGCCCAGGAAGCCAUCCCCUCACCUACACUGACCAGCCCAGGAAGCCAGCCCCUCACCUAUGCUGACCAGCCUAGGAAGCCAAGCCCACACCUACACUGGCCAGCCCAGGAAGCCAGCCCCUCACCUACGCUGACCACCACAGGAAGCCAUCCCCUCACCUACGCUGACCAGCCCAGGAAGCCAGGCCCACACCUACGCUGACCUGGCCAGGAAGCCAGCCCCUCACCUAUGCUGACCAGCCCAGGAAGCCACCCCUCACCUACGCUGACCACCACAGGAAGCCAGCCCACCAUCUAACCAACUGGCUCAUGAAGGUGGCCCCUGGUCUGAGCUGCCCGGAUCUACAGCGCCCAGCCAGGAAGAUCAGCAAUAGCUCUGUAACGACUGAAGCAAAGUGGUCAGGACUUGACCAUUACUGCUCCUCCCCUGAUACCUGUCCCAGUUUCAACUCAGGUCCACCCAGAGAAAGCCGAGCGAGACCCCUCAGCCCAGUUAAGGCGCCUGCUGCGUGCUCUUCCUCCGAGCCCAGGCCAGCAGCCUCCUUGUCUGCAUCUGGAGCCUCACCAUCCCCGCUGCACAUCCCUCCCCUGCCCCGGUCUCAGCCAUGUGCCAGUGACAGGGCUGACCCCUGCCAGAACGUGUGCUGAAGACGGCUUCCUGCUCACAUUCGGGUCUGGGCUCACGGCUACCCCUCCUGCCCACCCUGGGCAGGCACUUUCCAGCCUGUUGGCAGGGGCUUGCGUGUUGGAGGGCCCUGGUGGCCACGUGUCCCACCCCUGCUCAUAGGAGGAGGAGUGGGUUCUGGGGGAAAGCAGCUGCCCGCUGGGGCCGGGCGCAGCUGGGGGCUGGGAGCAGAGCUGGCCUGCUUGUGUCGCCUUCCCUCCCCAGGCGAAGGCCGGUGACUUGCUGCCUGUGACAGUCUUUGAGAUGAUCCAUCCACACCAGGCGGGGGCCACAGUCCUGCCUUCACUGCCCCGUGGAGCCGUGACGAGUUCCGGUCGUGUUUAGUCUCCUGCAGACACAGCUGUGAACCCUUUGGCAUGUUUAGGGUGGAAGGUUCUGGCCCCAGGGAAGCUGUCCUGGGGCUGGGGGCACGCACAUGAAACUGUCACAGACUGCUGGGGAGUCCGGCAGAAGGCGGUGGUCCUGGACUCAGAGCCGUUCUGCAGGUCAGAGGGGCAGGGAGGUCCCGUCCUCCUGGCGCCACACGUAGGCCUGUACGGGCCCUGAGUGAGGAAGACACGAGAGGCAGUGGCCCUUGCUCCUUUCUGCCCAGGGCACCCUGCGGCACAGCCUGGCCCACCAGCACCCUUCCUUGCCUCUGCUCCCUGCCCAGGGCCCAGCAGCCCCCUCUACCAGGACUCAGCUGCAGUCUGCCUGCGGCCAGCGGGCCUUUGCUACAUUGGCCUCGAGGCCGGGGCCUGCCCCUGAUGCUGCAAAACUUACCUGGAGCUCACGUCCCUGUCCUCUCUCCUGACCCAUUUCAAUGUAGGACCAGUUUUGAUGCUGGCCUGUCCUCUGUACACAGGGCAGUUAGGCCCUGUUCCCCUGCCCUGGGGAUCUGAUUUUAUGCCGCAGUUGAGCCUUUAUGUGGGAGGGGGUUGGGGCUGUGGGCACCAAGACACUCAGGCCCCUGGAGACCAGGUGCCCCUGAGCUACCCCCACGCGAUGUCUUGGCCUCUCUUUCCCCAGGCAGAGUCCAGGCGAGGACCCGUAUCCGUGGGUGGUCUCAGGAACACCUGGCUGGUGGGGUGAGAGGCAGGGGCCUAGUGGAGGGAGGGGGUACGGUGCGGGCCACUGAGCUCCAUCUCUGCCUGGGGGUCCAGAGCACCCUUAGAUCCCAUGGCUGCCAAGGGGCUGUGGUUGACCUCACUUCCUGAUGGCCAAAGGCUGCUGGGGACACCAGCUUCUUCCGCUUCCUUUGUGCCCUAUGUGUCCCUGGAGGGAACCCUGGGGGUGGGCCGGGUGCCACGAGGGCCUGCAGGGUGAGUGUGCGGUGUUGGGUGCAGGUGGGCUUUGCUGUGCAGCCCUCAAAGGCUCACCUUGGUGGGAUAUGGGUGAGGCCCCCAGCCUGACUUCUCUCCUGUGGGUGGCGGGGACCCCUUGAGACGCUCUUGGACACAGGUGGUGCCUUUCAGGUGGACUGCCACAGAGGCUUCGGUCCCUCUCCUUGACUCCCCCUGCAGCUGACCCUGCGGCCCUGCUGUGACGCACACCUGGCUCCCAGCAGGUGACACCCACUUCCACCCUGUGGGCCCGGGGUGUGCUGGUGGAGCAGCUGCUGACUGUCCUGCUGGCCAAGGCCUUCUAGUUUUCUUUUCAGACUUGACAGUGGACCCCGGAGCUCCGAAUGGUGCUCAGGCACCCGCAGUGUCCAGCCCCAGUGGGACUUUGUUUCCAAUCUAAACCUGCAGUGGGGGCGUGGGGGAUGGGAGGGGAGUGGGAAUCCAUA